rnacentral:rRNA from 1 species
CCUACGGGAGGCAGCAGUGGGGGAUAUUGCACAAUGGGGGGAACCCUGAUGCAGCGACGCCGCGUGGGUGAAGGAGCGUUUCGGCGCGUAAAGCCCUAUCGGCAGGGAAGAAGGAGGACGGUACCUGACUAAGAAGCCCCGGCUAACUACGUGCCAGCAGCCGCGGUAAUACGUAGGGGGCAAGCGUUAUCCGGAUUUACUGGGUGUAAAGGGAGCGUAGACGGCAGUGCAAGUCUGGAGUGAAAGGCGGGGGCUCAACCCCCGGACUGCUCUGGAAACUGUACGGCUGGAGUGCAGGAGAGGUAAGUGGAAUUCCUAGUGUAGCGGUGAAAUGCGUAGAUAUUAGGAGGAACACCAGUGGCGAAGGCGGCUUACUGGACUGUAACUGACGUUGAGGCUCGAAAGCGUGGGGAGCAAACAGGAUUAGAUACCCCAGUAGUC